GACAUAGGUGGCGAACGUUAUCCGGAAUUAUUGGGCGUAAAGGAUGCGUAGAUGGUAGAAUAAGUUGCUGGUCGAUGCCAAACUCAAUUUGACGGAAGCUAGCAAUACUGUUCUGCUAGAGGGCAGGAGAGGUUGAUGGAAUUCUGUGUGGAGCGGUGAAAUGCAUUGAGAUCGGAAAGAACACCAACGGCGAAAGCACUCUGCUGGGCCGACACUGACACUGAGAGACGAAAGCUAGGGGAGCAAAUGGG
rnacentral:rRNA from 1 species